GACGAACGCUGGCGGCGUGCUUAACACAUGCAAGUCGAACGGUAAGGCCCUUCGGGGUACACGAGUGGCGAACGGGUGAGUAACACGUGGGUGAUCUGCCCUGCACUUCGGGAUAAGCCUGGGAAACUGGGUCUAAUACCGGAUAGGACCACUGCCUGCAUGGGUGGUGGUGGAAAGCUUUUGCGGUGUGGGAUGGGCCCGCGGCCUAUCAGCUUGUUGGUGGGGUGAUGGCCUAGCAAGGCGACGACGGGUAGCCGGCCUGAGAGGGUGACCGGCCACACUGGGGCUGAGAUACGGCCCAGACUCCUACGGGAGGCAGCAGUGGGGAAUAUUGCACAAUGGGCGCAAGCCUGAUGCAGCGACGCCGCGUGAGGGAUGACGGCCUUCGGGUUGUAAACCUCUUUCAGCACCGACGAAGCGCAAGUGACGGUAGGUGCAGAAGAAGGACCGGCCAACUACGUGACAGCAGCCGCGGUAA
rnacentral:rRNA from 1 species